rnacentral:rRNA from 1 species
GACGAACGCUGGCGGCGUGCUUAACACAUGCAAGUCGAACGGAAAGGCCCUGCUUUUGUGGGGUGCUCGAGUGGCGAACGGGUGAGUAACACGUGAGUAACCUGCCCUUGACUUUGGGAUAACUUCAGGAAACUGGGGCUAAUACCGGAUAGGAGCUCCUGCUGCAUGGUGGGGGUUGGAAAGUUUCGGCGGUUGGGGAUGGACUCGCGGCUUAUCAGCUUGUUGGUGGGGUAGUGGCUUACCAAGGCUUUGACGGGUAGCCGGCCUGAGAGGGUGACCGGCAACAUGGGGACUGAGAUACGGCCCAGACUCCUACGGGAGGCAGCAGUGGGGAAUAUUGCACAAUGGGCGGAAGCCUGAGGCAGCAACGCCGCGUGCGGGAUGACGGCCUUCGGGUUGUAAACCGCUUUCGCCUGUGACGAAGCGUGAGUGACGGUAAUGGGUAAAGAAGCACCGGCUAACUACGUG